UACGUAGGUGGCAAGCGUUGUCCGGAAUCAUUGGGCGUAAAGCGCGUGUAGGCGGUUCGGUAAGUCUGCUGUGAAAGUCCAGGGCUCAACCCUGGGAUGCCGGUGGAUACUGUCGGACUAGAGUACGGAAGAGGCGAGUGGAAUUCCCGGUGUAGCGGUGAAAUGCGCAGAUAUCGGGAGGAACACCAAUUUCGAAGGCAGCUCGCUGGGACGUCACUGACGCUGAGACGCGAAAGCGUGGGGAGCAAACAGG
rnacentral:rRNA from 1 species